AUUGACAAUAUCAUACGAUUUGAAAUAAGAUUGAGGUUUCUUCUUAGCAAGUUCGAAAAAAUGACGAAGCUCUUAAUUAAUCAGAAUUAAUUUGUCGGAAUUUUGCAAUCAUUGUUGUGAUUAUAAUCGUGAAAAUUAUAUUUUUUAGUUUCAGAAGCGACAGAGUUUGUAAUCGCAGAUACUAUUUCGAGCAAUUUUGGUGCAGUUACACCGCGUCGGAAGACCCGGCUCGGGCCGAACGAGAUCGGCUCGAAGAAUACCUCGCCGAGAGGCAGCGUCGGGAGACUCCAUUGGAAACGUGAACGUUAAUCUCGUCGCGAAGUGAAGUGCAACGCGGGACCAAGGACGAAUGUUGCUGGGACGACACAGUUCGAUCGACGCGACUGCGAUCAACCCCCAGGUGGGCGAUGGAUUUCGACGCGCAGUGAGAUUCAAUAAAGCAGACGCAGUCACGUGACUCUAGGGGAUGCGAUGUCUGGAGGAUGCUGCGCCGGAGGAUCUGGCUCGGGCCUGGCAGAGUUGGCGCGAAG